CCCCUCGCCUCGCCCCCAUUCAAAACGUUCAGCGACUCCCCGUAGCCGCCGCCGCUGUCGUACGAGUCCUCCCUCUCCAGGUUCUCCUCCACCCUCACCAACCCUCCGAGUGCGCUCGCCGCUAGCCCUGUCCCCAUCCCCAUCUUGUUCUUCUUCUUACUGCCGGCACCAACGGCGCCGGUUCUAUACCCGGGGUGGCAGCGAGCUCUCCUCCCUUUCGCCUUCCAGCUCUCACCCGGCCGCCACCGCUCCACCAACCAAGCCGCCACCGCUCCCUUUCACCACCGCGCCGCCCGGACGCCUCCAGCCACUACCCACAGAGUCGUGCGGCCGCCACCCUAAACUGCGACUCCAGCAGCGAUGCGCGCCCGCCGCCCUUCACGCAGCCCGAGAGAAGCCCGACCACCCCCCUCCGUGCUGCCCAUGGAGCGUCGUACGAUGACUGCAGUUCGCGGCGAUGCGUCCAAUCCAGUCCGGCUUCCGCGAGUCCGCCUCGCCAUCCGCAUCUUGGUCAUCCCGUCCUCGAUCCAAACACCCUGCCCUGACUACCGCAGUUCGCCUGACUUCCCGCAUCUUGCCCAGCCGCUAUGAGUCCGCAUCGUGCUCCCCCAAUCAGCAGUUGCGGGCUCGAUCCGCAACACAUCUCGGUGUAUGCCGCAGCUCAGCACCUACCUCAGCAUCUACCACCUCACUAAUGCAGUCCAAGUCCCCCCCUAGGGUGCUUGGAGGAAGGGAGGUGGUCUGAGACCUUUUUGAGAUUGCCUGGUUUGAACAUCGUACAACUUGUGGAAGAGGUAAUAUUGCAAGGACUGCUAUGGAUCGCAGCGGUGGUGGUGGCGAAAAUGGAUGCGGACAAGCUGUACCUUCUACUUUGGCACUGGAGGGAGUCAGCCGAGAUGAGGGGGGCAACCGUCCUUGCUGCCAAGCGUGUGAAAGCAUUAGCCCGAAAAGCCCACUGUUGUAUGGAAUCGGCAUUCUGUUGGUCAUGCCACUAAAGACACUGUAUGGUGUGGGUCGUGUUUUUGGUGCUGAGUGGUUCCUCUCCAACAUGACCAGCGUCUCGUCGUCGUUGCAAAUUAAGCUUGUACCUUGCCUUGGAGAUAUUUAACUAUGCAUAUAUUCUGCAUGAUGUUGAUACUGGAACAAUUAGAGUCGUGGAUCUUUCUGAGGCUAUGCCUAUUAUAAAUACAUUGGAAAAGAGAAUCCAGAACUUGACCUAUAUACUGAACACCCAUCAUCACUAUGAUCAUACUGGUGGAAACAUGUAAUUGAAGGCAAAUAUUGUGCAAAGGAAUAGCUUUGGGCUAUCUUGUUUGUUCUAUCUUUUCCUAUAUUGUUCAGUGACUCUGAUACAUACAAUAUGUGAAAGUGACAAUCAAAAUGUGUACUGCUAUGAGAUAAAGUGAAGUCAAUUGGGCUAUACCCAAGGAUGGACUCAUUAUGAGUGUUUUCUAUAGCAUAUAUUAUUCUUA